rnacentral:rRNA from 1 species
AACGUAGGUGGCAAGCGUUAUCCGGAUUUACUGGGCGUAAAGCGUGUGCAGGCGGGGGUACAAGUGGUGUAUGAAAUUUCCCAGCUUAACUGGGAAGGGUUAUGCCAGACUGUACUUCUGGAGUGCGAGAGAGGGGCGUGGAAUUCCGGGUGUAGUGGUGAAAUGCGUAGAUAUCGGGAGGAACACCAGUGGCGAAGGCGACUACCUGGCCCAUUCUUGACGCUGAGGCGCGAAAGCUAGGGGAGCGAACGGG